GACGAACGCUGGCGGCGUGCUUAACACAUGCAAGUCGAACGGAAAGGCCCUGCUUUUGUGGGGUGCUCGAGUGGCGAACGGGUGAGUAACACGUGAGUAACCUGCCCUUGACUUUGGGAUAACUUCAGGAAACUGGGGCUAAUACCGGAUAGGAGCUCCUGCUGCAUGGUGGGGGUUGGAAAGUUUCGGCGGUUGGGGAUGGACUCGCGGCUUAUCAGCUUGUUGGUGGGGUAGUGGCUUACCAAGGCUUUGACGGGUAGCCGGCCUGAGAGGGUGACCGGCCACAUUGGGACUGAGAUACGGCCCAGACUCCUACGGGAGGCAGCAGUGGGGAAUAUUGCACAAUGGGCGGAAGCCUGAUGCAACAACGCCGCGUGCGGGAUGACGGCCUUCGGGUUGUAAACCGCUUUCGCCUGUGACGAAGCGUGAGUGACGGUAAUGGGUAAAGAAGCACCGGCUAACUACGUGCCAGCAGCCGCGGUGAUACGUAGGGUGCGAGCGUUGUCCGGAUUUAUUGGGCGUAAAGGGCUCGUAGGUGGUUGAUCGCGUCGGAAGUGUAAUCUUGGGGCUUAACCCUGGGCGUGCUUUCGAUACGGGUUGACUUGAGGAAGGUAGGGGAGAAUGGAAUUCCUGGUGGAGCGGUGGAAUGCGCAGAUAUCAGGAGGAACACCAGUGGCGAAGGCGGUUCUCUGGGCCUUUCCUGACGCUGAGGAGCGAAAGCGUGGGGAGCGAACAGGCUUAGAUACCCUGGUAGUCCACGCUGUAAACGGUGGGUACUAGGUGUGGGGUCCAUUCCACGGGUUCCGUGCCGUAGCUAACGCUUUAAGUACCCCGCCUGGGGAGUACGGCCGCAAGGCUAAAACUCAAAGGAAUUGACGGGGCCCCGCACAAGCGGCGGAGCAUGCGGAUUAAUUCGAUGCAACGCGUAGAACCUUACCUGGGUUUGACAUGGAUCGGGAGUGCUCAGAGAUGGGUGUGCCUCUUUUGGGGUCGGUUCACAGGUGGUGCAUGCCUGUCGUCAGCUCGUGUCGUGAGAUGUUGGGUUAAGUCCCGCAACGAGCGCAACCCUUGUUCACUGUUGCCAGCACGUUAUGGUGGGGACUCAGUGGAGACCGCCGGGGUCAACUCGGAGGAAGGUGGGGAUGACGUCAAGUCAUCAUGCCCCUUAUGUCCAGGGCUUCACGCAUGCUACAAUGGCUGGUACAGAGAGUGGCGAGCCUGUGAGGGUGAGCGAAUCUCGGAAAGCCGGUCUCAGUUCGGAUUGGGGUCUGCAACUCGACCUCAUGAAGUCGGAGUCGCUAGUAAUCGCAGAUCAGCAACGCUGCGGUGAAUACGUUCCCGGG
rnacentral:rRNA from 1 species